rnacentral:tRNA from 1 species
CUUUGUAUACUCAAUGGUGAAGCAUUUGCUUAGCAUGGAAGGGCCUGGGUUCAAUCCCCAGUACAAGGA